UCCCUGGUGGUCCAGUGGUUAGGACUUGGCACUUUUACUGCUGGGGCCCGGGUUCAAAACCUAGCCAGGGAA